UACGUAGGUGACAAGCGUUGUCCGGAUUUACUGGGCGUAAAGAGCGCGCAGGCGGUCGAUCAAGUCGAGUGUGAAAGCCCCCGGCUCAACUGGGGAGGGUCAUUCGAUACUGAUCGACUCGAAGGCAGGAGAGGGUAGUGGAAUUCCCGGUGUAGUGGUGAAAUGCGCAGAUAUCAGGAGGAACACCGGUGGCGAAGGCGGGUCUCUGGGCCGAUACUGACGCUGAGGAGCGAAAGCGUGGGGAGCAAACAGG
rnacentral:rRNA from 1 species